rnacentral:rRNA from 1 species
AGGACGAACGCUGGCGGCGUGCUUAACACAUGCAAGUCGAGCGGAAAGGCCACUUCGGUGGUACUCGAGCGGCGAACGGGUGAGUAACACGUGAGUAAUCUGCCCUUGGCUUUGGGAUAGCCACCGGAAACGGUGAUUAAUACCGGAUACGACAACUUCUCGCAUGGGAUGGUUGUGGAAAGUUUUUCGGCCAGGGAUGUGCUCGCGGCCUAUCAGCUUGAUGGUGAGGUAAUGGCUCACCAUGGCUUCGACGGGUAGCCGGCCUGAGAGGGUGACCGGUCACACUGGGACUGAGACACGGCCCAGACUCCUACGGGAGCAGCAGUGGGGAAUAUUGGACAAUGGGCGGAAGCCUGAUCCAGCAACGCCGCGUGAGGAUGACGGCUUCGGUGUAACCUCUUCGGUAGGACGAGCGCAAGUGACGGUACCUACUAAGAAGCACCGGCCAACUACGUGCCAGCAGCCGC